rnacentral:rRNA from 1 species
UACGUAGGGGGCAAGCGUUGUCCGGAUUCAUUGGGCGUAAAGAGCGUGUAGGCGGCCAGGUAGGUCGGUUGUGAAAACUGGAGGCUCAACCUUCAGACGUCGACCGAAACCAUCUGGCUAGAGUACGGGAGAGGAGAGUGGAAUUCCUGGUGUAGCGGUGAAAUGCGCAGAUAUCAGGAAGAACACCCGUGGCGAAGGCGGCUCUCUGGGACGGUACUGACGCUGAGACGCGAAAGCGUGGGGAGCGAACAGG